AGGAUGGGACUGCGGCCUAUCAGGCUGUUGGCGGGGUAAUGGCCCACCAAACCUGUAACCGGUACGGGCUUUGAGAGGAGGAGCCCGGAGAUGGACACUGAGACAAGGUUCCAGGCCCUACGGGGCGCAUCAGGCGCGGAAACUUCGCAAUGCGCGAAAGCGUGACGAGGCUAAUCCGAGUGCCGUCCGCUGAGGAUGGCUUUUCUCGGCUGUAAAUAGGCCGGGGAAUAAGGGGAGGGCAAGUCUGGUGUCAGCCGCCGCGGUAAUACCAGCUCCUCGAGUGGUCAGGACGAUUAUUGGGCCUAAAGCACCCGUAGCCGGUUCCAUAAGUCCUCUGUUAAAUCCAACCGCCCAACGGUUGACCUGCAGAGGAUACUGCGGGACUAGGAGGCGGGAGAGGCGGACGGUACUCCGCGGGUAGGGGUAAAAUCCUUUGAUCCGCGGAAGACCACCAGUGGCGAAGGCGGUCCGCCAGAACGCGCUCGACGGUGAGGGGUGAAAGCUGGGGGAGCGAACCGGAUUAGAUACCCGGGUAGUCCCAGCCGUAAACGAUGCGAGCUA
rnacentral:rRNA from 1 species